UAGGGAAUCUUCCACAAUGGGUGCAAACCUGAUGGAGCAAUGCCGCGUGAAUGAAGAAGGCCUUCGGGUUGUAAAGUUCUUUCGGUAUUGAGGAAGGUUGAUGUGUUAAUAGUACAUCAAAUUGACGUUAAAUACAGAAGAAGCACCGGCUAACUCCGUGCCAGCAGCCGCGGUAAUACGGAGGGUGCGAGCGUUAAUCGGAAUAACUGGGCGUAAAGGGCACGCAGGCGGUUAUUUAAGUGAGGUGUGAAAGCCCCGGGCUUAACCUGGGAAUUGCAUUUCAGACUGGGUAACUAGAGUACUUUAGGGAGGGGUAGAAUUCCACGUGUAGCGGUGAAAUGCGUAGAGAUGUGGAGGAAUACCGAAGGCGAAGGCAGCCCCUUGGGAAUGUACUGACGCUCAUGUGCGAAAGCGUGGGGAGCAAACAGGAUUAGAUACCCUGGUAGUCCACGCUGUAAACGCUGUCGAUUUGGGGGUUGGGGUUUAACUCUGGCGCCCGUAGCUAACGUGAUAAAUCGACCGCCUGGGGAGUACGGCCGCAAGGUUA
rnacentral:rRNA from 1 species